GCAGUCGUGGCCGAGUGUUUAAGGCUAUGAACUAGAAAUCCAUUGGGGUCUCCCCGCACAGGUUCGAAUCCUGUCGACUGCG
rfam:Ixodes scapularis strain Wikel colony gcontig_1108378265760, whole genome shotgun sequence.